rnacentral:rRNA from 1 species
UACGUAGGGGGCUAGCGUUGUCCGGAAUCAUUGGGCGUAAAGAGCGCGUAGGCGGCUAGAUAAGUCCGGUGUGAAAGUCAUAGGCUCAACCUGUGAAUGCCGCUGGAAACUGUCUGGCUAGAGUCCGGAAGGGGCGAGUGGAAUUCCUGGUGUAGCGGUGAAAUGCGCAGAUAUCAGGAGGAACACCGAUUGCGAAGGCAGCUAGCUAGACCGACAUUGACGCUGAGGCACGAAAGCGUGGGGAUCAAACGGG